rnacentral:rRNA from 1 species
UAUAUUAAGUUGUUGCGGUUAAAAGCUCGUAGUUGGAUUUCUGUUGAGGUCGGGCGGUGUGCACCUCGUGCAUUAUUUGCUUCGGUCUCGGCAUCCUCCUGGGGAACGUUUAGGACUUUAUUGGACUAGGCGAGAUUCAGGACUUUUACUUUGAGGAAAUUAGAGUGUUCACGGCAAGCAAGCGCGGGAAUACAUUAGCAUGGAAUAAUAAUAUAGGACCUUCGUUCUAUUUUGUUGGUUUCUAGAACUUAGGUAAUGAUUAAUAGGGACAAUUGGGGGCAUUCGUAUUAACGCGUCAGAGGUGGAAUUCUUGGAUUGCGUUACGGCGAACUACUGCGAAAGCAUUUGCCAAAGAUGUUUUCAUUGAUCAAGAACGAAAGUAUGGGGAUCGAAGACGCUUAGAUACCGUCGUAGUCUAUACCAUAAACUAUGCCAACUAGAGAUCGGUGGGGUUAUCCUAUGUGGCUCCAUCGGCAUCUUAUGAGAAAUCAAAGUCUUUGGGUUCCGGGGGGAGUAUGGUCGCAAGGCUGAAACUUAAAGGAAUUGACGGAAGGGCACCACCAGGAGUGGAGCCUGCGGCUUAAUUUGACUCAACACGGGAAAACUACCAGGUCCGGACAU